rnacentral:lncRNA from 1 species
AAGUUUCAAUAUCAUAACAGUUUUUUUAUAUUCUUUUGUCAAAAUUUUCUAUCUUUCCUAUUCACAUGAUAUUAACAAUUAUAGUAUUCUGCAGAUUGUUGAUAAAGCACUAUCUAUUGAAGAAAAUUCUAGCGAGAGUUUACAAGCAACGGAUGAAGAAGAGUCUUGAAAGCAUGAUGGAAGCUUAUAUGAAGAAGAGUAUUCUGCAGUUUGUGCAUCAUGUUGUCAGUGUUGUACUUUGUGACUUUGGUGAAGCGUGUAUGUUUUGUUUGUAGUGUUGUAUGGAUUAUUUGAAGUCUGUAUGUUUUGCUUCAAUCAGCUUGCUCCUUUUAUGUACUGGACUGUUUUGGUAUU